rnacentral:rRNA from 1 species
GUGAGGAAUUUUCCGCAAUGGGCGAAAGCCUGACGGAGCAAUGCCGCGUGAAGGAUGAAGGCCUAUGGGUUGUAAACUUCUUUUCUCAGAAAAGAAUUAUGACGGUAUCUGAGGAAUAAGCAUCGGCUAACUCUGUGCCAGCAGCCGCGGUAAGACAGAGGAUGCAAGCGUUAUCCGGAAUGAUGGGGCGUAAAGCGUCUGUAGGUUGUUUAAAAAGUAUUCUGUCAAAGAUUAGGGCUUAACCCUAGAUAGGCAGAAUAAACUUUUAAGCUAGAGUUUGGUAGAGGCAGAGGGAAUUCCCGGUGGAGCGGUGAAAUGCGUAGAUAUCGGGAGGAACACCAAAGGCGAAGGCACUCUGCUGGGCCAAUACUAACACUGAGAGACGAAAGCGAGGGGAGCAAAUGGGAUUAGAUACCCGUGUAGUCC